AAAGUCUUUGUGUAGUUUUAAGCUAUUAAGGCUUAAACUGUACUAAGACUUUUG
ensembl:miRNA mdo-mir-7262i mdo-mir-7262i